rnacentral:rRNA from 1 species
UACGUAGGCAGCAAGCGUUGUUCGGAGUUACUGGGCGUAAAGGGUGUGUAGGCGGUUGUUUAAGUUUGGUGUGAAAUCUCCCGGCUCAACUGGGAGGGUGCGCCGAAUACUGAAUGACUAGAGUGCGGAAGAGGAGAGUGGAAUUCCUGGUGUAGCGGUGAAAUGCGCAGAUAUCAGGAAGAACACCCGUGGCGAAGGCGGCUCUCUGGGACGGUACUGACGCUGAGACGCGAAAGCAUGGGGAGCGAACAGG